GCGAGUUUCCGGCCAGGAAGAACCUCUAUAAGCAAAACAAACCAUAAUAAUCAGCCACCAUUUCAAAAUUUGGACUAAAUAAAUCUCAUUUCUGGAAUCAGAAUAAGGUUGAAUUUGUGGUUACGUACGAGAGGAUUGGCGUCAAGCUGGUUAGCAUCGUUUGAGGUGUCCUGAAGAACGACCAGGACAGUUUGUUCGUUGCCGCUGUUGAAGAGCCAGUGAACUGCGCUCUCAGGGAAGACAAUAAUGUCGCCCUGCUUGUAGCUGCCAAUCUUCUGGUGCCUGUCAAGGAAGCUAGAGCCACCUUGUUCGGAUUGCUGGAACGACUGGUACGUCUCUGCGCAGCCCGGAACCACUAUUCCAAACUCUCCCUGCCCUGUUAUUGAAAAUGGCAAAAAAUACAAGAAGAUAUGUCAGCAUAAGGAAUCAAUUCACCUUAAUUGAGACCAGAUCUCAUGACCUCCCAUAUAGAAGAGGUCAUUAUGCUAUAGAAGAGGUCAUUAUGCUGCCAUCUGACUAUAAGGUGCUUGCCAGGUCUAAAUACACUCAAUAAGAUUAAUAGCAAAGAGUAGUUCUAAAGAUGACGUUCCUUGUUCGACAUAGGCGACGAGGGGGGCGUUGGUGUAGGAAGGCAAGAGGAGGCCUCUAGGCUGGAUGAUGUGGCGGUAGAGAUGGGCCCCGCCGCACUGGAACUGCUGAUUGUAGGGGUCCCAGAACUCGGUGACGCCGCCCUCGGCCUGGAUGCGGAGGGUGGGCUCGAAGGCGUUGAUUUGGCGGAACUGGCACUCGUUGGGGCUCUGCUGGUAGCUCUGCCGCGCAAAGCAGCCAUUGAAGAGCACCAGGAAGGUGAGGGAGAGAGAAAGCCAAGCAGAAGAUCUCGCCAUUUUUUGUUGAAAGCUUAGAGGGAUUGAAUUGAAAUGGAGAUGUGAUGGUGAGAAGUGGCGAGGGGAAAACGCGGUAUAUAUAGGGGAGAUGGGAGGCUUUGGAGUUGACACAUAGGGGGAGAGGGAGAUGACAUUUUGCAGUUUGCAUGUCCUUCAAACCUCUCUUGCGUUACACCUCAUUGUUGUUGCAUUGCAUGGCGAAGUGCGUGGCUAAAUAGCUCUGAGAAUGCAUUCCAGCAGGGCAUGCAUGACAGCAGCUCAUCAUUUUGUUUGUAAGUGAUUCACCUCAAAAUCCCCACAUUUCAGCUGGACAAAAUUGUAGAUAAAUAGAUAACGUUCAUUCGGUGAUCUUUCAGGUAGGAGGAUUAAUAUUUGGUGUUCACAAUCAAUCCAUUAACUCUUAAUCUAUUACUAGUAUAGAGUAUAAAUUAAACUAAUCUAUUCAUGCAAAUUUUAAUGUAUGAUAUGAUCAUCCUUCAUUCCUUCUAAAUCUUGUAUUCUUCUCAACUCAUUAUCAAUCUUUGAUAGACUUCACUUGA